AUGAACCACUUCGGUGGGGAUUAGUGGCGAACGGGUGAGUAACACGUGGGCAAUCUGCCCUGCACUCUGGGACAAGCCCUGGAAACGGGGUCUAAUACCGGAUACUGAUCCUCGCAGGCAUCUGCGAGGUUCGAAAGCUCCGGCGGUGCAGGAUGAGCCCGCGGCCUAUCAGCUAGUUGGUGAGGUAACGGCUCACCAAGGCGACGACGGGUAGCCGGCCUGAGAGGGCGACCGGCCACACUGGGACUGAGACACGGCCCAGACUCCUACGGGAGGCAGCAGUGGGGAAUAUUGCACAAUGGGCGAAAGCCUGAUGCAGCGACGCCGCGUGAGGGAUGACGGCCUUCGGGUUGUAAACCUCUUUCAGCAGGGAAGAAGCGAAAGUGACGGUACCUGCAGAAGAAGCGCCGGCUAACUACGUGCCAGCAGCCGCGGUAAUACGUAGGGCGCAAGCGUUGUCCGGAAUUAUUGGGCGUAAAGAGCUCGUAGGCGGCUUGUCACGUCGGUUGUGAAAGCCCGGGGCUUAACCCCGGGUCUGCAGUCGAUACGGGCAGGCUAGAGUUCGGUAGGGGAGAUCGGAAUUCCUGGUGUAGCGGUGAAAUGCGCAGAUAUCAGGAGGAACACCGGUGGCGAAGGCGGAUCUCUGGGCCGAUACUGACGCUGAGGAGCGAAAGCGUGGGGAGCGAACAGGAUUAGAUACCCUGGUAGUCCACGCCGUAAACGGUGGGCACUAGGUGUGGGCACAUUCCACGUUGUCCGUGCCG
rnacentral:rRNA from 1 species